AUCGAGCCUUCCUGUGCCACAGCAACAGAGCUCCAGUUGUGUCUUGUAAGAAUUGGUCAUUGUUUCAUGGGGACGACUGGCUCCUUUGGGUGGGAUCUGAUGGCAUCUCAUGGAGUUGAGAGAAGACUGAUGUCAACUUUUGUCUCGUAAUACACGAAUCUAUGAGUUUCUCUCAGAAAAUGGUUGUCUGCCAACGCUAACUGGCCAGCUCUGACAGGAGGUGCGUGGCCCAGGAGGAGCCAUCAGGCCAGUUCUCUGGGAUACUGCUGUGUCUCCAGCUCUGCAGUUUGCUCUUCGUCACUCAGCGGCAGACGGAGAGGCAGACACGAGCCCCUUGUGAGCCCUCCUCCUUACCGUCAUCUCACAAUGCUCUGAAAUAAGGAGGCAAAUGGCUGAGGUCCCCUCAGUUGUAGAUGUGAUUGAGUUCUAUCUACCAGAAGCAUAUGCCUCCUGGAAGCCUGGUUCUAACACCUCCCACAAAAUCCUUCAAGCACUUUUUUCUGUUCCAAGGUUUGCUUAUGGGGGACCCAGUGAAGUGCUUCAGAGCCCUAGAGAUUUGCUGAGUCAUAUGAGGGGUCAGCAAACUUUUCCUGUAAAGGGUCAGAUAAUAAACAUUUUAAGCUUUGUAGACUGUAUAAA
rnacentral:lncRNA from 1 species